rnacentral:rRNA from 1 species
UAUUGCACAAUGGGGGAAACCCUGAUGCAUCAACGCCGCGCGAGUGAAGAAGUGUUUCGGUGUGUAAAGCUCUAUCAGCAGGGAAGAACAUGACGGUACCUGAGUAAGAAGCCCCGGCUAACUACGUGCCAGCAGCCGCGGUAAUACGCAGGGGGCAAGCGUUAUCCGGAUUUACUGGGUGUAAAGGGAGCGUAGACGGCGAUGCAAGUCUGAAGUGAAAGCCCGGGGCUCAACCCCGGGACUGCUUUGGAAACUGUAUGGCUAGAGUGCUGGAGAGGCAAGCGGAAUUCCUAGUGUAGCGGUGAAAUGCGUAGAUAUUAGGAAGAACACCAGUGGCGAAGGCGGCUUGCUGGACAGUAACUGACGUUGAGGCUCGAAAGCGUGGGGAGCAAACAGG